AGCGUACACGGUGGAUGCCCUGGCAGUCAGAGGCGAUGAAGGACGUGCUAAUCUGCGAUAAGCGCCGGUAAGGUGAUAUGAACCGUUAUAACCGGCGAUUUCCGAAUGGGGAAACCCAGUGUGAUUCGUCACACUAUCAUUAACUGAAUCCAUAGGUUAAUGAGGCGAACCGGGGGAACUGAAACAUCUAAGUACCCCGAGGAAAAGAAAUCAACCGAGAUUCCCCCAGUAGCGGCGAGCGAACGGGGAGGAGCCCAGAGCCUGAAUCAGCAUGUGUGUUAGUGGAAGCGUCUGGAAAGGCGCGCGAUACAGGGUGACAGCCCCGUACACAAAAGCGCAUGUGCUGUGAGCUCGAUGAGUAGGGCGGGACACGUGGUAUCCUGUCUGAAUAUGGGGGGACCAUCCUCCAAGGCUAAAUACUCCUGACUGACCGAUAGUGAACCAGUACCGUGAGGGAAAGGCGAAAAGAACCCCGGCGAGGGGAGUGAAAAAGAACCUGAAACCGUGUACGUACAAGCAGUGGGAGCACAGGUUUACCUGUGUGACUGCGUACCUUUUGUAUAAUGGGUCAGCGACUUAUAUUCUGUAGCAAGGUUAACCGAAUAGGGGAGCCGGAGGGAAACCGAGUCUUAAUUGGGCGUUAAGUUGCAGGGUAUAGACCCGAAACCCGGUGAUCUAGCCAUGGGCAGGUUGAAGGUUGGGUAACACUAACUGGAGGACCGAACCGACUAAUGUUGAAAAAUUAGCGGAUGACCUGUGGCUGGGGGUGAAAGGCCAAUCAAACCGGGAGAUAGCUGGUUCUCCCCGAAAGCUAUUUAGGUAGCGCCUCGUGAAUUCAUCUCCGGGGGUAGAGCACUGUUUCGGCUAGGGGGCCAUCCCGGCUUACCAACCCGAUGCAAACUGCGAAUACCGGAGAAUGUUAUCACGGGAGACACACGGCGGGUGCUAACGUCCGUCGUGAAGAGGGAAACAACCCAGACCGCCAGCUAAGGUCCCAAAGUCAUGGUUAAGUGGGAAACGAUGUGGGAAGGCCCAGACAGCCAGGAUGUUGGCUUAGAAGCAGCCAUCAUUUAAAGAAAGCGUAAUAGCUCACUGGUCGAGUCGGCCUGCGCGGAAGAUGUAACGGGGCUAAACCAUGCACCGAAGCUGCGGCAGCGACGCUGAUGCGUUGUUGGGUAGGGGAGCGUUCUGUAAGCCUGUGAAGGUGGCCUGUGAGGGUUGCUGGAGGUAUCAGAAGUGCGAAUGCUGACAUAAGUAACGAUAAAGCGGGUGAAAAGCCCGCUCGCCGGAAGACCAAGGGUUCCUGUCCAACGUUAAUCGGGGCAGGGUGAGUCGACCCCUAAGGCGAGGCCGAAAGGCGUAGUCGAUGGGAAACGGGUUAAUAUUCCCGUACUUGGUGUUACUGCGAAGGGGGGACGGAGAAGGCUAUGUUGGCCGGGCGACGGUUGUCCCGGUUUAAGCGUGUAGGUGUGUGUUCCAGGUAAAUCCGGUUCACUUUAACACUGAGGCGUGACGACGAGGCACUACGGUGCUGAAGCAACAAAUGCCCUGCUUCCAGGAAAAGCCUCUAAGCAUCAGGUAACAUCAAAUCGUACCCCAAACCGACACAGGUGGUCAGGUAGAGAAUACCAAGGCGCUUGAGAGAACUCGGGUGAAGGAACUAGGCAAAAUGGUGCCGUAACUUCGGGAGAAGGCACGCUGACACGUAGGUGAAGUGAUUUACUCAUGGAGCUGAAGUCAGUCGAAGAUACCAGCUGGCUGCAACUGUUUAUUAAAAACACAGCACUGUGCAAACACGAAAGUGGACGUAUACGGUGUGACGCCUGCCCGGUGCCGGAAGGUUAAUUGAUGGGGUCAGCGCAAGCGAAGCUCCUGAUCGAAGCCCCGGUAAACGGCGGCCGUAACUAUAACGGUCCUAAGGUAGCGAAAUUCCUUGUCGGGUAAGUUCCGACCUGCACGAAUGGCGUAAUGAUGGCCAGGCUGUCUCCACCCGAGACUCAGUGAAAUUGAACUCGCUGUGAAGAUGCAGUGUACCCGCGGCAAGACGGAAAGACCCCGUGAACCUUUACUAUAGCUUGACACUGAACAUUGAGCCUUGAUGUGUAGGAUAGGUGGGAGGCUUUGAAGCGUGGACGCCAGUCUGCGUGGAGCCGACCUUGAAAUACCACCCUUUAAUGUUUGAUGUUCUAACGUGGACCCGUAAUCCGGGUUGCGGACAGUGUCUGGUGGGUAGUUUGACUGGGGCGGUCUCCUCCUAAAGAGUAACGGAGGAGCACGAAGGUUGGCUAAUCCUGGUCGGACAUCAGGAGGUUAGUGCAAUGGCAUAAGCCAGCUUGACUGCGAGCGUGACGGCGCGAGCAGGUGCGAAAGCAGGUCAUAGUGAUCCGGUGGUUCUGAAUGGAAGGGCCAUCGCUCAACGGAUAAAAGGUACUCCGGGGAUAACAGGCUGAUACCGCCCAAGAGUUCAUAUCGACGGCGGUGUUUGGCACCUCGAUGUCGGCUCAUCACAUCCUGGGGCUGAAGUAGGUCCCAAGGGUAUGGCUGUUCGCCAUUUAAAGUGGUACGCGAGCUGGGUUUAGAACGUCGUGAGACAGUUCGGUCCCUAUCUGCCGUGGGCGCUGGAGAACUGAGGGGGGCUGCUCCUAGUACGAGAGGACCGGAGUGGACGCAUCACUGGUGUUCGGGUUGUCAUGCCAAUGGCACUGCCCGGUAGCUAAAUGCGGAAGAGAUAAGUGCUGAAAGCAUCUAAGCACGAAACUUGCCCCGAGAUGAGUUCU
rnacentral:rRNA from 1 species